AACGAACGCUGGCGGCAUGCCUAACACAUGCAAGUCGAACGAAGGCUUCGGCCUUAGUGGCGCACGGGUGCGUAACGCGUGGGAAUCUGCCCCUCGGUUCGGAAUAACAGCGAGAAAUUGCUGCUAAUACCGGAUGAUGACUUCGGUCCAAAGAUUUAUCGCCGAGGGAUGAGCCCGCGUAAGAUUAGCUAGUUGGUGGGGUAAUGGCCUACCAAGGAGACGAUCUUUAGCUGGUCUGAGAGGAUGAUCAGCCACACUGGGACUGAGACACGGCCCAGACUCCUACGGGAGGCAGCAGUGGGGAAUAUUGGACAAUGGGCGAAAGCCUGAUCCAGCAAUGCCGCGUGAGUGAUGAAGGCCUUAGGGUUGUAAAGCUCUUUUACCAGGGAUGAUAAUGACAGUACCUGGAGAAUAAGCUCCGGCUAACUCCGUGCCAGCCGCCGCCGUAAAAC
rnacentral:rRNA from 1 species